AGUGAACGCUGGCGGCGUGCUUAACACAUGCAAGUCGAACGAGAACGGAUUAUAGCUUGCUAUAAUUGUCAGCUAAGUGGCGCACGGGUGAGUAAUGUAUAGGUAAUAUGCCUCUUACUAAGGGAUAACAAUUGGAAACGAUUGCUAAUACCUUAUAUUCCUUUUUAUCAAAAGAUAAAAAGGGAAAGAUUUAUUGGUAAGAGAUUAGCCUGUAUUGUAUCAGUUAGUUGGUGGGGUAAUGGCCUACCAAGACGAUGACGCAUAACUGGUUUGAGAGGAUGAUCAGUCACACUGGAACUGAGACACGGUCCAGACUCAUACGGGAGGCAGCAGUGGGGAAUAUUGCACAAUGGACGAAAGUCUGAUGCAGCAACGCCGCGUGGAGGAUGACACAUUUCGGUGCGUAAACUCCUUUUAUAUAAGAAGAUAAUGACGGUAUUAUAUGAAUAAGCACCGGCUAACUCCGUGCCAGCAGCCGCGGUAA
rnacentral:rRNA from 1 species